AGCGAACGCUGGCGGCAGGCUUAACACAUGCAAGUCGAGCGGGCGUAGCAAUACGUCAGCGGCAGACGGGUGAGUAACGCGUGGGAACGUACCUUUUGGUUCGGAACAACACAGGGAAACUUGUGCUAAUACCGGAUAAGCCCUUACGGGGAAAGAUUUAUCGCCGAAAGAUCGGCCCGCGUCUGAUUAGCUAGUUGGUGAGGUAACGGCUCACCAAGGCGACGAUCAGUAGCUGGUCUGAGAGGAUGAUCAGCCACAUUGGGACUGAGACACGGCCCAAACUCCUACGGGAGGCAGCAGUGGGGAAUAUUGGACAAUGGGCGCAAGCCUGAUCCAGCCAUGCCGCGUGAGUGAUGAAGGCCCUAGGGUUGUAAAGCUCUUUUGUGCGGGAAGAUAAUGACGGUACCGCAAGAAUAAGCCCGGCUAACUUCGUGCCAGCAGCCGCGGUAAU
rnacentral:rRNA from 1 species